GUGAGUCAGACACACACACACACACUGCUGUUACUCUCCAGUUUCCGUACACACUGUCCAAGCUCCAACAAGGAUAGAACACACUGAAGAGAGAAGAGGAUUUCAAAACCAAGAAGUGAGCCUCUGCAUUCUGUUCAUCAUGGGAAAAGGAGUCGGUGACUUUGAUUGGCAAGAGAAACACCCAGACACCACACAGUCCCAACCAGAGAAGAGACAACCCAACACAGACUCAGACAAACACCGCUCAGGCUCUGACUCAGGAGAGAACGGCUGUAAGAAGUGCUGCAUCAGGACCAGGAACUGUGUCAUGAGUCCUGAGUGUGGGCGUGCACUACACAUCUCCCAGGUCAUCGCAAUGUGUGGCAUGUGCAUUGGCAUGUGGACAUAGUCCAACCAUCUUUUCUCAAAGGACAACCAUUUGAUCUCUUCUCCUAGACCACAGAGAGAGAAACACAUCAAUGCUUUGACAUACUCUUAUUUAUUGUAUUCAAAGGAAUACAUUUCUCCUCUCGUGUUUUCCUUGGAAUCUCAACCAUCAUCAACACAAACAAUAUGGAACUGAAACAAAAUUAACCUUUCAUACUCUUUAUUGUCCUUAGAUAUAAUUGUGUAAAGUAUCGUCAGCUACUGUACAUUCUCCACUGUGCAGUGUUCUGUAAACUAUAUAUUUUCUAUUUUCUCCAAAUAUUUCUUAGUGUUUGUCAUACGGUAGUUUGGAUACUAUUUGGCUAUUCCAUUUGGUGAUAAAAAAAAACACUUUCAAAAAGUGGAAAUGUUUUAUUCUUAACUAUCACAUUGGCAGUGGGAACGCUUCACAUUCCACCCCAGAGUGAAUAUACUACAUGAAAAUCAAAGUAAUGUAGAAGGGAACUUUACCAGCUGCUAACUGUUAGGGAAUGGUGGGAAAGGCACAACUUGACAGUACACCUUUAAUUGGAAGGAGAAGAGACGAGAAGAGGAGAAGAAUAGAGAAGAGAAUAGAACAAGGAGAAGAGAGGAGAGGGAGACAGAAGAGAGGGAGGGGAGAGAAGAGACAGUGGUGGCAGUGAAUGUUCCUCGGCUCUACUUUCUGAAGGGAUGUUAUUAACAGCAUUGCAUCUAGUCAGAGGGGAGAUCAUAGUGACAGAUUUAACCAAAUCCCCUGACAGACUGGACAGGAGGGGAGAGACACAAAACCUACCAAGCUAGUGUUCCCCAGACAGAUGUGAAAAGAGUUGUAUGAAAAUAGUUGUAUGACUCACAAACAUUUCUGUGAUUGAGAGUGCCAACACAAGUCUGUGAUUGCAGAGCAAUUAUGGUGGAUUGCUUGUUGUAAUAAACUUGGAAACGAA